CUGCUGUGUUGUUUUCCAGAUCUCCCCCCUGACGGAGGAAGACGAGGGAUCGUACGAGUGUUGCGCCGCCAACGCCAACGGAGAAGCUUCGGCCGUCGGAGCCAUCCGCCUCGUCCAGUCUCCCCACAGCCCCGUCAACACAGUGACAAAGGAAGUCGAGCUGUGAUCAGCUGAUCAGAGGAGACGGUCGUCAUGGAAACAGCUGGAGAGGGUUCUUCUUCAUCUCUUUGUUUUCGUGUAUUUCUGAAUAUAA